UAGCAUUGAAUCUUCCUCGGAUGCCUCCAAAUACCAUUCAAUACUCGGCCCCAACUAGUGGUGCAUUUCCUGUGCCUCCACCAAGGCCACCAGGUAUGCCAAUGGUUCCAUCAAUUCGUCCAAUGCAGGCUCCAAUGCCAGUGGCACCUGGACAGCAGCCCAUUAUGAUGAAUCGACAGCUUACAAUGCCUCCAUCUAUAUCUGGAAAUCCACCAAGUAUGCCAGUUCCUCCUCCACCUGGAUCCCAGUUUACGCCAAUUCCUCGACCUUUUGCUCCUCUUCCUGUCCCUCCAACAGCAAUUGGUAUGAUGCCACCACCACCACCCUUGCCUCAAGGAAUGCCUCCACCACCUCCACCUGACGAUGCUCCUCCACCACUUCCAGACGAACCAGAGCCUAAGAGACAGAAGCUUGAUUCUAUGCUUAUUCCAGAAGAUCAAUUCCUG
rnacentral:lncRNA from 1 species